CGGGGCUUAGUGCCGCAGCUAACGCAUUAAGCACUCCGCCUGGGGAGUACGACCGCAAGGUUGAAACUCAAAGGAAUUGACGGGGGCCCGCACAAGCGGUGGAGUAUGUGGUUUAAUUCGAAGCAACGCGAAGAACCUUACCAGGUCUUGACAUCCCUCUGACCGCUCUAGAGAUAGAGUUUUCCUUCGGGACAGAGGUGACAGGUGGUGCAUGGUUGUCGUCAGCUCGUGUCGUGAGAUGUUGGGUUAAGUCCCGCAACGAGCGCAACCCCUAUUGUUAGUUGCCAUCAUUCAGUUGGGCACUCUAGCGAGACUGCCGGUAAUAAACCGGAGGAAGGUGGGGAUGACGUCAAAUCAUCAUGCCCCUUAUGACCUGGGCUACACACGUGCUACAAUGGCUGGUACAACGAGUCGCAAGCCGGUGACGGCAAGCUAAUCUCUGAAAGCCAGUCUCAGUUCGGAUUGUAGGCUGCAACUCGCCUACAUGAAGUCGGAAUCGCUAGUAAUCGCGGAUCAGCACGCCGCGGUGAAUACGUUCCCGGGCCUUGUACACACCGCCCGUCACACCACGAGAGUUUGUAACACCCGAAGUCGGUGAGUUAACCGUAAGGAGCCAGCCGCCUAAGGU
rnacentral:rRNA from 1 species